rnacentral:rRNA from 1 species
UGGGGAAUUUUGGACAAUGGGCGAAAGCCUGAUCCAGCAAUGCCGCGUGUGUGAAGAAGGCCUUCGGGUUGUAAAGCACUUUUGUCCGGAAAGAAAUCCUUGGCUCUAAUACAGUCGGGGGAUGACGGUACCGGAAGAAUAAGCACCGGCUAACUACGUGCCAGCAGCCGCGGUAAUACGUAGGGUGCAAGCGUUAAUCGGAAUUACUGGGCGUAAAGCGUGCGCAGGCGGUUUGCUAAGACCGAUGUGAAAUCCCCGGGCUCAACCUGGGAACUGCAUUGGUGACUGGCAGGCUAGAGUAUGGCAGAGGGGGGUAGAAUUCCACGUGUAGCAGUGAAAUGCGUAGAGAUGUGGAGGAAUACCGAUGGCGAAGGCAGCCCCCUGGGCCAAUACUGACGCUCAUGCACGAAAGCGUGGGGAGCAAACAGGAUUAGAUACCCCUGGUAGUCCACGCCCUAAACGAUGUCAACUAGUUGUUGGGGAUUCAUUUCCUUAGUAACGUAGCUAACGCGUGAAGUUGACCGCCUGGGGAGUACGGUCGCAAGAUUAAAACUCAAAUGAAUUGACGGGGUCAUAGCUGUUUCCU